rnacentral:rRNA from 1 species
UACGGAGGGUGCAAGCGUUAAUCGGAAUUACUGGGCGUAAAGCGUGCGCAGGCGGUUUGUUAAGUCCGCUGUGAAAUCCCCGAGCUCAACUUGGGAAUUGCAGUGGAUACUGGCAAGCUGGAGUAUGGUAGAGGAAGGUGGAAUUCCCGGUGUAGCAGUGAAAUGCGUAGAGAUCGGGAGGAACACCAGUGGCGAAGGCGGCCUUCUGGGCAGUAGCUGACGCUGAGGCGCGACAGCGUGGGGAGCAAACAGG